rnacentral:rRNA from 1 species
UACGAAGGGGGGCUAGCGUUGCUCGGAAUCACUGGGCGUAAAGCGCACGUAGGCGGAUAUUUAAGUCGGUGGUGAAAUCCUGGAGCUCAACUCCAGAACUGCCUCCGAUACUGAAUGUCUUCGAGUCCGGGAGAGGUGAGUGGAACUGCGAGUGUAGAGGUGAAAUUCGUAGAUAUUCGCAAGAACACCAGUGGCGAAGGCGGCUCACUGGCCCGGUACUGACGCUGAGGUGCGAAAGCGUGGGGAGCAAACAGG